ACUGAAUGUUCUUCACGAAGCAGGGCUACUGCCAUUCUGCACAGAUAUGGGUGAUUGGAAUACUGACGUUAUUCUUCAGUUCUAUGCCACACUGCAUAUCUCAGGAGCCCCCAAAGACAUCAACACUUGGGUCUUGGACUGAAUGACACACCACACUCACUACAAACUCCGGCCACAGAAUUGCUUUGAGCUCUUCCAAUCUCAAUUCCUUCAGAAGAUGCAGUCAGAAUGUAUGAUGAAAGGGAACUGCCAAAUAAGCUCAUGGAAGUCCUCAUGAAACCUUUGGCUCUGGACGAACCUCCAGGAACUAGAUUCCUGGUGAAGGAUUUGAAGUAUGAGCCCAGAACUGUCUACAGAAUUUUGACAUAUUCCAUCGCACCUAUCAAAGGGCAUGACAAAGAAGAAGAUGUUGUAGGCACCAUGAAGAAUACCCUAUUCAACGUCAUUCAUGGCAUCCCAAUGAACCUUCACGAUUUCUUCUUGAGGACUUUGGUCGAUGAUGCUUUAUCACCAUUUGAGCUGAAGAUUUAUUCGCCUUGGAUCAUGA
rnacentral:lncRNA from 1 species